rnacentral:rRNA from 1 species
UACGUAUGGUGCAAGCGUUAUCCGGAUUUACUGGGCGUAAAGGGAGCGCAGGCGGCGCGCCAAGUCUGAUGUGAAACCCCGGGGCUCAACCCCGGGCAUGCAUUGGAAACUGGCGGGCUGGAGUGCCGGAGAGGUAAGCGGAAUCCCUAGUGUAGCGGUGAAAUGCGUAGAUAUUAGGAGGAACACCAGUGGCGAAGGCGGCUUACUGGACGGCAACUGACGCUGAGGCUCGAAAGCGUGGGGAGCAAACAGG